GAUGAACGCUAAGCGAUAGCUUAACGCAUGCAAGUCGAGGGCAUCACGAAUUAGCAAUAGUUUGGUGGCGACCGGCGCACGGGUGCGUAACACGUAUACAACCUACCUUCAAUUGGGGAAUAACCUGGAGAAAUUUGGACUUAAUACCCCAUAGUAAGCAGAGGAGGCAUCUUUUUUGUUUUAAAGAUUUAUUGAUUGGAGAUGGGUAUGCGUAGGAUUAGCUAGUUGGUAAGGUAACGGCUUACCAAGGCAACGAUCCUUAGGGGUUCUGAGAGGAAGGUCCCCCACACUGGUACUGAGACACGGACCAGACUCCUACGGGAGGCAGCAGUGAGGAAUAUUGGUCAAUGGUCGAGAGACUGAACCAGCCAAGUCGCGUGAAGGAAGACGGCUCUAUGAGUUGUAAACUUCUUUUGUACAGGAGUAAAGUGAGACACGUGUGUUUUAUUGCAAGUACUGUACGAAUAAGCAUCGGC
rnacentral:rRNA from 1 species